CAAUGCUUCCAAUGCAUACUAUUGCUGUGCGCGCCGCUCGCGCUGCCGGCCAAACGAUUAUACGUGCUUAUGCAGAA
rnacentral:tRNA from 1 species